GAGCACGAAAGAGAGAGGAUGUCUCUUUCAGACUGGCAUCAGGCAGUGAAGCUGGCCGACCAGCCACUUGCUCCCAAAUCUAUUCUUCAGUUGUCAGAGACAGAACUGAGGGAAUAUUCCCUAGGGAUCUAUAGCAUUUUAUUUUUAAAGCUGCUUAUUGCUGGCAAGCUCAAGGAGUCUGUUCCAGACCCGGAGCUGAUAGAUUUGAUCUACUGUGGCCGGAAGCUAAAAGAUGACCAGACUCUUGACUUCUAUGGUAUUCAGCCUGGGUCCACAGUCUCUGAACAUUUUCAGAUGUUCUCUGAAAAUCUUGGCCUGAGCCUGAUCAAAAACCUGAACCUGUGGACAAAGUGGCUGCCCUGAGAGAGUUGCGGGUCCUGCAUACUGCCCUGAACAGCAGCUCCUCCUACAGAGAGGUGGUCUUUAAGAUGCUCAGCAAUAAAAAGUCUCUGGAUCUGAUCAUUGUGGCCACCCCAGGCCUCAGCAGUGACCCCAUUGCUCUAGGGGUUCUCCAGGGUAAGGACUUCUUCUCUGUCUUUGCUGAUGCAAACAUGCUAGAUACACUGGUGCCUGCUCGCCCAGCCCUAGUCAAUGCCAUCAUCCUGGUUCUGCACUCUGUAGCAGGCAGCACCCCAAUGCCAGGAGCUGACUCCUCCUCCCGAAGCAUGCCCUCCAGCUCUUAAGAGAUAUGCCAGGUGGUUUCCUGUUUGAUGGGCUUUCAGAUGAUGAGGACGACUUUCACCCAACACUUGGUCCAUGCCCUCUAGCAGGACACCCAGCUCCUGUCCUGCCUCCCUGGGAUACAGUGGAGUUGCAGGGCCUCACCCCAUCACCCAGAGCGAGCUGGCCAUUGCCCUAACCCUGGCCAAUACUCCAGAGAUCAGUUCUCAUACACCAAUUCCUGGCACCUAGGGCCAUUCUUCAGGCACCUCGCCAAUGUCCUCUGGUGUCCAGUAAGGUACACCCGUCUCCAAGGAUCUUUUUAGCCAAGCCCUCCAGCAUGCCCUACAGGCCUCUGGGCAGCACAGCCUUCAGAAACAGUGGCAGCCUCAACUAUAGCAACUGUGUGACAUGGGCAUUCAGAAUGACGAGCUGAGACUCCGGGCCUUUUAGGCCACUGGAGGUGACAUCCAAGCAGCCCUGGAACUCAUCUUUGCUGGAGGAGGCCCAUGA